rnacentral:rRNA from 1 species
AUUGAACGCUGGCGGCAUGCCUUACACAUGCAAGUCGAACGGUAACGCGGGGCAACCUGGCGACGAGUGGCGAACGGGUGAGUAAUGCAUCGGAACGUGCCCGGUAGUGGGGGAUAACUGCUCGGAAGAGCAGCUAAUACCGCAUACGACCUGAGGGUGAAAGGGGGGGAUCGCAAGACCUCUCGCUAUCGGAGCGGCCGAUGUCGGAUUAGCUAGUUGGUGGGGUAAAGGCCUACCAAGGCGACGAUCCGUAGCUGGUCUGAGAGGACGACCAGCCACACUGGGACUGAGACACGGCCCAGACUCCUACGGGAGGCAGCAGUGGGGAAUUUUGGACAGUGGACGCAAGUCUGAUCCAGCCAUGCCGCGUGCGGGAAGAAGGCCUUCGGGUUGUAAACCGCUUUUGUCAGGGAAGAAAUCUUCUGAGUUAAUACCUCGGGAGGAUGACGGUACCUGAAGAAUAAGCACCGGCUAACUACGUGCCAGCCGCCGCAGUAAUAC